GGAGAAUUAGUUAACAAAAUAAUACAAGCCUGUCACGCUUGAGUCACUUCAUAGGGUAGUAUUCUCCG
rnacentral:tRNA from 1 species